ACAACUCAAAGCAGACAAAAGAGUUAUUUUUAUCGCAAGGCUUCAUCCUUGUGAUUUAAAAAUGGUGAUUGGGUAUCCCUAUGAGUAUUACUAAUGAAGAGAGUAAUGAGGUUCAAUAAGAAAGGAAAGCUCAUCCCCCAGUAUAUCAAGCCAUUUGAGAUCCUUUAGAUAGUUAGGGAUGGAGCUUAGAAGUUGGCCUUUCCUCUAUCCUUUUGAUCCAUCCAUCCAGUUAUCCAUGGCUAAUGGGACUCAAUUACGCUAAUUUUUGGAGGGAAUUGGUCCUUAAGCAAAGAGGGACACUGUGAUAGAUUCAAUUUCAUGAUUCCAAAGAUGCAGGUAAUGGUUGAGAAUGAAGAUGAGCAAGCUAUUCAAGCCAAUCGGAUGUCAAAUAUGAAAGAAAAAGAUCCCUAAAGUUCACAUGUAUGUGACGGGAAGCCAAAAUAGUGUCAUGUAUGCCCAAGAGGCACUUCAUAUGCACCCAAGGUGCACCCUACGUAUACCUAAUAUACUCUUGAUCUGUUCAAGCAGCUCAACAGUGUGUGGCAUUUUUCUAAUAUCAGGAAAAUGGGAAAUUGGGGCCAAAAAGUGGGUUUUUUGCUCAUUUCCUCAUUAUUAAAUUAUUGUUGAACUAUUCUUGAGCUAAGGAAUAUUAGAAUGGCCUUCAAGUGAAGAAUUAGGAAUUUUUAUUGAAGAUUUGUAGAAAUUAAAGCUUGGAUAUUGUAUUCUUUUUACUUUCUAUGGAUUAAUUUGAAUGAAAUU